GGGUCAGUAGGUUGGUCGUGCCACCGGUACGUACUGGUCUCACUGAUUCCUCCUUCCUGAAGAACCGUAAUGCCAUUAAUGUGGUGUUGCGGGGAAACAGGACUGUUACUUUGAAAAAAUUAGAGUGUUUAAAGCAAGCUAACGCUUGAAUACAUUAGCAUGGAAUAAUGAAAUAGGACGAUCGAUCCUAUUUUGUUGGUGUCUAGGAUUGACGUA
rnacentral:rRNA from 1 species